rnacentral:rRNA from 1 species
UACGUAGGGUGCAAGCGUUAAUCGGAAUUACUGGGCGUAAAGCGUGCGCAGGCGGUGAUGUAAGCCAGAUGUGAAAUCCCCGGGCUCAACCUGGGAACUGCAUUUGUGACUGCAUCGCUGGAGUACGGCAGAGGGGGAUGGAAUUCCGCGUGUAGCAGUGAAAUGCGUAGAUAUGCGGAGGAACACCGAUGGCGAAGGCAAUCCCCUGGGCCUGUACUGACGCUCAUGCACGAAAGCGUGGGGAGCAAACAGG